rnacentral:misc_RNA from 1 species
GGUUAAUAGGUGCUUUUCACAAGUACAUCGCCUUCAUCGGAUCUGGUUUCUCUUUUAUCAGAGAAGCUUCAAAUAAAUAAAUACAGGCGAGGUAGCCAUCAUCGAAGGAAUCAGAUGGCAGUAAUGGAGGAAUCAAACCCAAAGUCCACUUUAUCCCCACCUAAUUCCUACACUGCCGUUGUUCUUGGAGGUACUUUUGAUCGUUUACACGAAGGUCACCGGCUUUUUCUUAAGUCGGCUGCGGAAUUGGCAAAGAAUCGAAUUGUAGUUGGUGUUUGCGAUGGUCCAAUGUUGAUUAAGAAACAGUAUGCUGAUCUGAUAGAGCCAAUUGAGCUGAGAAUGGAACAUGUUGAAGAUUACAUCAAGUCUAUAAAACCUGAGCUGAUAGUGGAAGUAGAACCAAUUGUGGAUCCCUAUGGUCCGUCAAUUGUCGAUGAGAAUUUGGAGGCCAUUGUUGUCAGCAAGGAGACGUUGCCUGGUGGACUGUCUGUUAAUAGGAGGAGGGCUGAAAAGGGACUCUCGCAGCUAAAGAUCGAAGUUGUAGAUCUAGUCUCUGAAGAAUCAAGUGGAGACAAACUGAGUUCUACUGCUUUGAGAAAACUUGAAGCUGAGAAGCUGCUCAGGGACCACAAUUCCGGAAGUCAGAGUUAAAACUUUUUCUUGUCUAUACGUUCAAAGGAGUUUCACUUUGUUUUUUUUUUCUUUUCAAUUUGCUUUGUUAGGAUUAACAAGGACACUCUGUAGCCAUCAUAGAUGUGAAAUUGUCUUGUAAAAGAAUAAUCUCCUCAGAAUCGUGCUG